UUUUUUUUUUUUUUUUUUUUUUUUUUGUCUUUUCUAGGGCCACGCCUGUGGCAUAAGGAGGUUCCCAGGCCAGGGGUCUAAUAGGAGCUGUAGCCACCGGCCUAUGCCAGAGCCACAGCAAUGCGGGAUCCAAGCUGCAUCUGCAGCCCACACCACAGCUCACGGCAGCGCCGGAUCCUUAACCCACUGAGCAAGGUCGCAGAUGCAGCUCCGAUUUGACCCCUAGCCUGGGAACUUACAUAUGCCUUGGGUGUAGCCCUAAAAAGCAAAAAUAGUAAUAACAGUAGUCUAGGAUUUUGUGCCAUUUAAUCAAAAAAAAAAAGUUGAUGGCAAAUUUGGCCAAUUCCCUCUCUCCUUUUUGUUCCCUUCCUCUCUGCCCCUCUCUGUUUCUUUCUGUUUCCUUUUCUCUUUCACUCUCCUCAUCUACGUGCUCUGGCUUUAUAUCCACAUUGUGAUACUUGAUCUUUCCAGCCUUCCCUUUGACGUGUAUGUAAUGGCAGUGCCGGGGGCAGAAGGGAGCUGUCCCGGGAGAGUGGCAGGGCAGUGCCAUCCACAUCCUAAGGAUGAGAAGGUGGAUGCUUCAGUUGCCGGGGGCUCCCACUCCAUACCUCCCCCCACACCCAUCCAGAGGAAGGAACAUUUUUCUGUGUGGGGGUGGCACUCAUGUUGGAAGGGGAUGGUUGAUGGUGUUAUUUUUGUUCCCCACAAAUGUGAAUGUUUAAAAUAGUGCUUUAUUCAAUCGGCAUAAGUGACACAUAGACUAUGUAUAGUGGUGGAACUGGGCCUGGCAGGUGAUGAGGGCCACAUCUCACCACACCUAGGGUCCUGGUUCCCCAAUGAGAGCACCCAAGGGAUCUGCUCCGAGGAUGGCCAGCAGAGAACUCCCAUCUUGGGUGGCCUGGCAGAUUCACUUGCACCACCCCUGAAUUGUCUGAAGUGGAAGGAUUUCAGAGCCAGUGAACUGGGAUUUUGGCUUCGUUUCUAUGGGGCGUGCCAGUGGGUCACAUUUCCUCCCUGAACCUCCCUCCAAGCUGCACUGUACUCAUGAAGGGUAAGUGCCUUCGUUGUUCUUUCCUGCCUUUUGACUUGGUGCCCUGCAGGUCUGGAAUUCCGCCAGUGUAACCGAAUCGUGAAGCUGCAGCUCAGGCUAUAUUUAAUUGGAAGUUUAUUGUCUUGCCCCCAUUUUAGAAGUUUAGGGAACUUUUUUAAGAUUGUAGGGAUUUGAGAUAGUGUCAGUUUUGACUCACGUGCUCCCUUUUAGUGACUAUAAUUAAAAGUUUAUUUUAAAGUGUUAAGUUUGAAGUCUUUGGAAAUUGCUCUUUUAUACUUCGAGUCAACACAGGAAGGAUUCUAGAAGGGAGUCUUCCUAUUUUUAAACAAACAGAUUAUGUUUCAUAAAGCGGAACUUUGGGGAAGGCGAAAUAGAGGGGUUUAUUCCUAUGAAAAGCUUUAUUAUCAGAACUCAAUUGAUUUGAGAUGAAAGAGAAAGAAAAUGCAUAGGGUUUUUUUUGCUUUUUUUUUUUUUUUUUGGUCUUUUUUUAGGGCCUCACCCAUGGCAUAUGGAGGUUCCCAGGCUAGGAGUCAAAUCAGAGCUGCAGCCACUGGCCUAUGCCAUAGCCAUGCCAGAUCUGAGCUGCAUCUUUGACUUAUACCACAGUUCACAGCAAGGCCAGAUCCUUAACCCACUGAGUGAGGCCAGGGAUAGAACCUGUGUCCUCAUAGAUGCUAGUCAGAUUUGUUUCUGCUGAGCUACGAAGAAAAUUCCAAGAAAAUGCAUAGAUUUUUGAGACCUACAUAAAGCUACCAUAUGUCUGAGAGCUUUUGAAGGCUUUCUGGGGUGUCCUUAAUUGAUUUGAAAUGCAAUGCUGAAUUUGGAUUUUAUUUUAAAACAAGGGAGGAAAAAAGAACAUUUAAUUAGACUAGGGAGUGAAAGACAGCAAUGAGUGAAGAAUACUCCCCUACCUGCUGGAUGUCCCUGGUAUAGAUGACAUAGGCCAUUUGGUUGAUUUCCACUAGAACCCC
ensembl:lncRNA